rnacentral:lncRNA from 1 species
ACUGCAUGAUAAGUAUUACAAGUGAUUAGCACUAUAAACCAAAUUAAUCCAAACAUCUUCCAUGUUCCAGGAGUGAACAAAUAGCGGAAUACUAUUCAAACCGAAACAAUACGAAGCACAAAAAGAAGCUAAGGCAUGAUAGAAAUGAACUGCUGACUUUGAAUUAGUACAAACCAAUCAACUCAUAAGCAAAUAAUGAACAAGAAAAGCUUAAACAUUUGAAAUGCAAAGCUAAGAAUCGAAUUAAGAGCAGGACUAUGAAGAAAAGUGAUCUUAAAAUGUGAGCUCGGAACUUCGAAUAAACCUGAACAACGAUCCAGCCACUUGAGAAUA